rnacentral:tRNA from 1 species
GCCCGGGUGGUGGAAUGGUAGACACGGGGGCCUCAAAAGCCUCUGCCCCAACAGGCGUGCGGGUUCGAGUCCCGCCCCGGGCA